rnacentral:rRNA from 1 species
GACAGAGGGUGCAAACGUUGUUCGGAAUUACUGGGCGUAAAGCGAGUGUAGGCGGUUUGGCAAGUCGGAUGUGAAAGCCCCGGGCUCAACCCGGGAAGUGCACUCGAUACUGCCAAGCUAGAGUAUUGGAGAGGUUGGUGGAAUUCUCGGUGUAGAGGUGAAAUUCGUAGAUAUCGAGAGGAACACCGGUGGCGAAGGCGGCCAACUGGACGAAUACUGACGCUGAGACUCGAAAGCGUGGGGAGCAAACAGG